rnacentral:ncRNA from 1 species
CUCCGGGUGUGGGCGAAAUACAAUACCUGGCAACAGGGAAAUAGCCCGCUGCUCUACGGCAGUUCUUAGCACCCGGAGUUUCUCAU